UUCCAACCACGAUACUGAAAAAACCAAAGCCCAGUCUAGCCAUUUAAAGAGAACACAUGGAAGUAAACCAAGAACCCAGCCAAUAUCCCCGGUUGACUGAAACUAUGGAAAGUGAAAUCAUAGAUAAGAAAGGACUACUGUGGGCUGGGCGCAGUGGCUCACGCCUGUAAUCCCAGCACUUUGGGAGGCCAAGGCAGGUGGAUCACAAGGUCAGGAGUUUGAGACUAGCCUCACUAACACAGUGAAACCCUGCCUCUACUAAAAAUACAAAAAUUAGCCGGCCUUGGCGGCGCAUGCCUUUAAUCCCAGCUGCUCAGGAGGCUGAGGCAGGAGAAUCCCUUGAACCUGGGAAGCGGAGGUUGCAGUGAGCCGAGAUCACGCCACUGCACUCCAGCCUGGGCAACGUAUCAAGUCUCCAUCUCAAAAAAAAAAAAAAAAAAAAAAAGACGGGACUACUGUGUAUACCAUGACCAAGUGGGAUUUAUCUCAGAAAAGCAAGGACGGCUUAAAAUACGAAAAUCAAUCCAGGUAAAACAUCAUAUUAACAGAAUGAAGUCUAAAAAAAAAAAAAGGAUCAUCUUAGUAAAUGCAGAGAAGAGCAUUUGACAAAGUCCAACUGUCUUUCGUGAUAAAAGCACUCAGCUAGGAACAGAAGGAAACAUCCUCAGCCCAAUGAAAGACAUCUGCACGAUUCUCAGAAAUUGACAAGAUGAUCCUAAAAUUUAUCUAGAUACACAUGGGACACAGAACAGCCAAGACAAUUUUGAAAAAUAAGAAUGAAGGAUUCAUACUUCUUGAUUUCAAAACUGACUACAAAGCUGCAGUAAUUAACACUGUGUGAGACUGGCAUAAGGAUAUGCAUAUAGAUUGAUAAAAUAAAACUGAGAAGCCCUUGAGAAAUAAA